UUGAACGCUGGCGGCAUGCUUUACACAUGCAAGUCGAACGGUAACAGGCCUUCGGGUGCUGACGAGUGGCGAACGGGUGAGUAAUGCAUCGGAACGUGCCCAGAGGUGGGGGAUAACGCAGCGAAAGCUGUGCUAAUACCGCAUGUGAUCUGAGGAUGAAAGCGGGGGACCAAGCAGCAAUGUUUGGCCUCGCGCCUCUGGAGCGGCCGAUGUCAGAUUAGGUAGUUGGUGGGGUAAAGGCCUACCAAGCCGACGAUCUGUAGCUGGUCUGAGAGGACGACCAGCCACACUGGGACUGAGACACGGCCCAGACUCCUACGGGAGGCAGCAGUGGGGAAUUUUGGACAAUGGGCGCAAGCCUGAUCCAGCAAUGCCGCGUGCGGGAAGAAGGCCUUCGGGUUGUAAACCGCUUUUGUACGGAACGAAAAGGCUCUGGCUAAUACCUGGGGCUGAUGACGGUACCGUAAGAAUAAGCACCGGCUAACUACGUGC
rnacentral:rRNA from 1 species